UACGUAGGGUGCAAGCGUUGUCCGGAAUUAUUGGGCGUAAAGAGCUCGUAGGCGGUCUGUCGCGUCUGCUGUGAAAACUCGGGGCUUAACCCCGGGCCUGCAGUGGGUACGGGCAGACUAGAGUGCGGUAGGGGAGACUGGAAUUCCUGGUGUAGCGGUGAAAUGCGCAGAUAUCAGGAGGAACACCGGUGGCGAAGGCGGGUCUCUGGGCCGUAACUGACGCUGAGGAGCGAAAGCGUGGGGAUCAAACAGG
rnacentral:rRNA from 1 species